GUACUUAUAACAAAAUGGCUUGUAAAUGUGGAUGUGGAUGUGCUUGCACUAACUGUGCCGGAAAGGCUGACUGCUGUGGAAAGAAGUGCUGUGACAAGUGCAAAUGCUAGACAUGUGGAUAGAAGAAAUGCCAGCUGUAAGAGUGAAAUCUCGUGAUUACAGCGAUUACUGAGGAUGUUGUGCAUUAAACUUCUGUAGAAAAAAAAACAGUUGAACUGUGAUAUAUAUUUUUCUUUUGAAAUCUUUUGAAGCCGACUAAAUGUUUGAAAAAUAAAAUGAAAAUGAAAUUUGUUAGCUAUAUUUGUUUUUGAAAUUGUAUGAAUGAUAUAUUAUUAUAAUAACAAUAUUAAGUGUGACUCGUCACGGUACUUACCUAUUAUUACUCGUUGUUAGCCGAACUAUAACA